UACGGGGGGGGGCAAGCGUUGUCCGGAAUCACUGGGCGUAAAGGGCGCGUAGGUGGCCACCAUAAGGCCGCGGUGAAAGUUCGGGGCUCAACCCCGGAUCGGCCGCGGCGACUGCUGGGGCGUUGGUACUGUAGAGGCAGAUGGAAUUCCGGGUGUAGCGGUGGAAUGCGUAGAGAUCCGGAAGAACACCGGUGGCGAAGGCGGCCUGCUGGGCAGUAGCUGACGCUGAUGCGCGACAGCGUGGGGAGCAAACAGG
rnacentral:rRNA from 1 species